CCUACGGGGGGCAGCAGUGGGGAAUAUUGGACAAUGGGGGGAACCCUGAUCCAGCCAUGCCGCGUGUGUGAAGAAGGCCCUCGGGUUGUAAAGCACUUUCAGUGAGGAAGAACGCCUGGUGGUUAAUACCCAUCAGGAAAGACAUCACUCACAGAAGAAGCACCGGCUAACUCCGUGCCAGCAGCCGCGGUAAUACGGAGGGUGCGAGCGUUAAUCGGAAUUACUGGGCGUAAAGCGCGCGUAGGUGGCUUGAUAAGCCGGUUGUGAAAGCCCCGGGCUCAACCUGGGAACGGCAUCCGGAACUGUCAAGCUAGAGUGCAGGAGAGGAAGGUAGAAUUCCCGGUGUAGCGGUGAAAUGCGUAGAGAUCGGGAGGAAUACCAGUGGCGAAGGCGGCCUUCUGGACUGACACUGACACUGAGGUGCGAAAGCGUGGGUAGCAAACAGGAUUAGAACCCUUGUAGUC
rnacentral:rRNA from 1 species